rnacentral:rRNA from 1 species
GACGAACGCUGGCGGCGUGCCUAAUACAUGCAAGUCGAGCGGACUUUCAAGAAGCUUGCUUUUUGAAAGUUAGCGGCGGACGGGUGAGUAACACGUGGGCAACCUGCCUGCAAGACGGGGAUAACUCCGGGAAACCGGGGCUAAUACCGGAUAAUAUCUUCCUUCGCAUGAAGGAAGGUUGAAAGGCGGCGCAAGCUGCCGCUUGCAGAUGGGCCCGCGGCGCAUUAGCUAGUUGGUGGGGUAACGGCUCACCAAGGCGACGAUGCGUAGCCGACCGGAGAGGGUGAUCGGCCGCACUGGGACUGGGACACGGCCCAGACUCCUACGGGAGGCAGCAGUAGGGAAUCUUCCGCAAUGGACGAAAGUCUGACGGAGCAACGCCGCGUGAGCGAAGAAGGUCUUCGGAUCGUAAAGCUCGGUUGUCAGGGAAGAACAAGUACCGUUCGAACAGGGCGGUACCUUGACGGUACCUGACCAGAAAGCCACGGCUAACUACGUG